AGCAGCCGCGGUAAUUCCAGCUCCAAUAGCGUAUAUUAAAGUUGUUGCAGUUAAAAAGCUCGUAGUUGAAUUUCGGGGUCAAUACGUCGGUCGUGCCUCGGUACGCACUAACGUUAUUGAUCCCUCCCUUCUGACGAACCGUGAUGUCAUUAAUUUGGUGUUGCGGGGAAUCAGGACUGUUACCUUGAAAAAAUUAGAGUGUUUAAAGCAGGCAAUCGCUCGAAUACAUUAGCAUGGAAUAAUGAAAUAGGACGUUCGAACCUAUUUUGUUGGUUUCUAGGAUCGACGUAAUGAUUAAUAGGGAUAGUUGGGGGCAUUAGUAUUCAAUUGUCAGAGGUGAAAUUCUUGGAUUUAUUGAAGACUAACUACUGCGAAAGCAUUUGCCAAGGAUGUUUUCAUUAAUCAAGAACGAAAGUUAGGGGAUCGAAGACGAUCAGAUACCGUCGUAGUCUUAACCAUAAACUAUGCCGACUAGGGAUCGGAUGAUGUUAAUUUUUUAAUGACUCAUUCGGCGCCUUAC
rnacentral:rRNA from 1 species